rnacentral:tRNA from 1 species
AGGGGUGUAGCUCAGUGGUAGAGCGUGUGCUUAGCAUGCAACCAAGGUCCAGGGUUCAAUCCCCAGUACCUCCA